UGGGGAAUAUUGCACAAUGGGCGAAAGCCUGAUGCAGCAACGCCGCGUGAGCGAUGAAGGCCUUCGGGUCGUAAAGCUCUGUCCUCAAGGAAGAUAAUGACGGUACUUGAGGAGGAAGCCCCGGCUAACUACGUGCCAGCAGCCGCGGUAAUACGUAGGGGGCUAGCGUUAUCCGGAAUUACUGGGCGUAAAGGGUGCGUAGGUGGUUUCUUAAGUCAGAGGUGAAAGGCUACGGCUCAACCGUAGUAAGCCUUUGAAACUGGGGAACUUGAGUGCAGGAGAGGAGAGUGGAAUUCCUAGUGUAGCGGUGAAAUGCGUAGAUAUUAGGAGGAACACCAGUUGCGAAGGCGGCUCUCUGGACUGUAACUGACACUGAGGCACGAAAGCGUGGGGAGCAAACAGG
rnacentral:rRNA from 2 species